rnacentral:piRNA from 1 species
UAGAUAAGGAGUGGGAGCUUUAGAGGCAA